AAACCAUGCAUCGGGCAUUUUGUAAUUAACUCCUUGAACCACUUUGAUGCUUUAUAUAAUGUUUCAUUCUCUGAUUCUCAAAAGGACGUGAUAUCAUUGCUCAGUUU
rfam:Gossypium raimondii Chr10_contig_822, whole genome shotgun sequence.